AGCUGGUUCUCCCCGAAAUAGCUUUAGGGCUAGCGUUGAACGAAUCUACCCGGAGGUAGAGCACUGAAAUCAUGCGGGCGGCAUCUCGCCGUACCAAAUGAUAUCAAACUCCGAAUGCCGGGCAAGAAUAUUCAGCAGUCAGACUGUGGGCGAUAAGGUCCAUGGUCAAAAGGGAAACAGCCCAGAUCUACAGCUAAGGUCCCAAAGUACGUGUUAAGUGGAAAAGGAUGUAGGAUUUCAAAGACAGCUAGGAUGUUGGCUUAGAAGCAGCCACACAUUCAAAGAGUGCGUAAUAGCUCACUAGCCGAGAGGUCCCGCGCCGAAAAUUACCGGGGCUGAAACACGACACCGAAGCUUAGGGACAGGAUAUAUCUACGGGUAUAUUUUGUCGGUAGGGGAGCAUUCACAGGAGGAAGAAACCAUACUGAAAAGAGUGGCGGACUGCUGUGAAGGGAGAAUGCCGGAAUGAGUAGCGAGAUGAAGGUGAGAAUCCUUCAGGCCGAAUAUCCAAGGAUUUCAGGGUAAAGCUGAUCUGCCCUGAGGAAGUCGGGACCUAAGGCGAGGCCGAAAGGCGUAGCCGAUGGACAGCAGGUUGAGAUUCCUGCACCUGAGUAAAUCAGAAGAGCGAGGACACGGAGAAGUAGAGUCAGCCGGGAGAGAAGCCCGGUGCAAGCGAAGCUGCCGGUAGGGAGUAAAUCCCCUACGGAAGGCAGAUGCGUGAUGCGGAGCGAAAUAAAAGUAGUGAAGGACUUAAGGGAACCGUCGAGAAAAGUCGCUAUUGUGUUUACUCAGCCCGUACCGUAAACCGACACAGGUGGAUGAGGAGAGAAUCCUAAGGCCGACGGGAGAAGCAUUGCUAAGGAACUCGGCAAAAAGUCCCCGUAACUUCGGGAGAAGGGGAGCCUGCGAGAGCAGGCCGCAGAGAAGAGGCUCAAGCAACUGUUUAGCAAAAACACAGGUCUAUGCGAAACCGAAAGGUGAGGUAUAUGGGCUGACGCCUGCCCGGUGCUGGAAGGUUAAGAGGAGAGGUUAGCGCAAGCGAAGCUUUGAAUUGAAGCCCCAGUAAACGGCGGCCGUAACUAUAACGGUCCUAAGGUAGCGAAAUUCCUUGUCGGGUAAGUUCCGACCUGCACGAAUGGCGUAAUGAUUUGAGCACUGUCUCGGCAAUGCACCCGGUGAAAUUGAAGUACCAGUGAAGAUGCUGGUUACCCGCGCCAGGACGGAAAGACCCCAUGGAGCUUUACUCCAGCUUGAUACUGGGAUUCGGUAAUGUAUGUACAGGAUAGGUGGGAGACGAAGAAGUGAUGACGUCAGUUGUCACAGAGUCGCUGUUGGGAUACCACCCUUGCGUUACUGGAUUUCUAACCUGCGGCCGUGAAACCGGCCGGGGGACAAUGUCUGGCGGGGAGUUUGACUGGGGCGGUCGCCUCCGAAAGGGUAUCGGAGGCGCUCAAAGGUUCCUUCAGGAUGGACGGAAACCAUCCGAAGAGUGCAAAGGCAGAAGGGAGCCUGACUGUGACACCGACGGGUGGAACAGGUACGAAAGUAGGACUUAGUGAUCCGGUGGUAUGAAAGUGGGAUUGCCAUCGCUCAACGGAUAAAAGCUACCCUGGGGAUAACAGGCUGAUCACUCCCAAGAGUUCACAUCGACGGAGUGGUUUGGCACCUCGAUGUCGGCUCAUCGCAUCCUGGGGCUGUAGUAGGUCCCAAGGGUUGGGCUGUCCGCCCAUUAAAGCGGUACGCGAGCUGGGUUCAGAACGUCGUGAGACAGUUCGGUCCCUAUCUGUUGUGGGCGUUGGAAAUUUGAGGAGAGCUGCCCCUAGUACGAGAGGACCAGGGUGGACGUUCCUACGGUGCACCAGUUGUCACGCCAGUGGCAUAGCUGGAUAGCUGAGAACGGACCGGAUAAACGCUGAAGGCAUCUAAGCGUGAAACCGACUCCAAGAUUAGAUUUCCCAUCAUUUCAAAUGAAUAAGACCCCUUGAAGACGACGAGGUUGAUAGGUCAGAGAUGUAAGUGUAGCGAUACAUUCAGUUGACUGAUACUAAUAGGUCGAAGAUUUAUUCAC
rnacentral:rRNA from 1 species